AGAAACUGUCAAAUACAUUCCUAAAUCAACCAAACAGCCCAAUAAGGGGAAAAAAAAAAAGAAAAAAAGGGAGUAAUAUCAAUGGCUUAGGUUGAUGCAGAUCUCAAGGCAUUUGGAGAGAUUUUGACCUAAGGAAUAAUCUUGCAACACAGGUGUUUGUUUAACCUGUAGGAAACCUGAGACCUCCAGAGUGCUGUCAAGCAAAGUCAGAUUUAAAGUGAAGCUCUGACUGCACUGGCACACAAGUUUAACAGAAGGUCAUACACAUGCCUUAUGUGGCCAAUGCUGGGAACUAAGGAAUCGAGAAUAUGGGCAGUGCCACGGUGGACUAGCCUAGAGGACUGGUCUCUAAGCCUGGCUAAUCGGGGCUCUGGUACCUGAUAGUGGAUGACUGACUAUAAAAAUCAAGAUUUAGCUUGCUCCCUGAGGCAUGCUGUACUGCCAGAUCAAAGUGCUCACACUUGGCAUCCUGAAAUGAAAUACCAUUGCUCUCACUCUGAAAAUGUGUGACACAGAAACCUGGGACAAUG